AAGUGGAGCAAUCCAUGAGUAGAGUGGCAAACGGGUGAGUAACACGUGGGUGACCUGCCUUCGAGUGGGGGAUAACGUCCCGAAAGGGACGCUAAUACCGCAUAACAUGCUGUCUUUUAAGAGAUGGACAUCAAAGCUGGGGACCGAAAGGCCUGGCGCUUGAAGAGGGGCCCGCGCCUGAUUAGCUAGUUGGUGGGGUAAUGGCUCACCAAGGCAACGAUCAGUAUCCGGCCUGAGAGGGCGGACGGACACACUGGGACUGAGACACGGCCCAGACUCCUACGGGAGGCAGCAGUGGGGAAUUGUUCGCAAUGGGCGCAAGCCUGACGACGCAACGCCGCGUGGAGGAUGAAGAUCUUCGGGUCGUAAACUCCUUUCGAUCGAGACGAACGGCCUUCGGGUUAAUAGCCCGGAGGAGUGACGGUACCGAGAGAAGAAGCCCCGGCUAACUCCGUGCCAGCAGCCGCGGUAC
rnacentral:rRNA from 1 species